rnacentral:lncRNA from 10 species
UGUCUGGCCAUCAUCUCAAAAAGAAGCCUCUACUGCUUCUAUAUCCUCUGUACCUGCCCAUGACCUGACCUCACCCUACUGAUUUAGAUGAUGUGAAGACACAUCUGGUCUGCUAACUUCCCAGGCAUAUUAGACAGCUAACAAUGUUUCCUUUAAGUCAGUCCCAUACGUAUCAAAGUUUCUAGCACACAGAUGGCAUUCUUUCUAGUUUCCAAUGAUGUUUUAUUUUUCUACCACUUUCCUCCCAAUUUUACAUUUUGUAGGUUUUUCCCAUGGUGUUCCCUUUCCAAUGUCUUUCUGGAAGUCACACAUUGACCACUAACAACAGGAGAGAGGACAAAGAAAGGCAGCAAAAGACUAUUUCCAAUGCGAAAUAUGAUCAGACGAUUCUUCUUCCAGUGUGCCCCAAGGAAGCCAAAAGAUUGGACACCCCUGGAAACUCAUCAGUCAGAGGAGAUGUGAGUGAGAGGCCUCAAGUGACCCUUUCUGGAAAUUCUUCCAUAUGAAAACAUGGGAGGAGGGAGGUUUCCUAUGUAGGAACCACAUGUGCAAAAAUGGCAAAAGAAAGAGAGGAGCAAGAGAUCCGCUUAUGAUAAUCCAACAAAACGAUAACUGGAACAGAAAAGAAAACGACGGCCAAUCAAACCCCUGAGUGACUCCACAUUGUCUUUAAUUCUCCUCUAAUCAAAGAGCAGCACACAGUUGUGAGAGGUGGUCCGAGCCGGGGAGAUUAUGCAGAGAGUGACUCCAUUCAGAGAAAUUUUGGCAUGAUUCCUAACCUCUUAGCCUGAGGGAGAAUUUCUUAAAUUUUAUUUGUGGUUCUCACCUGAGAGAAUUGAUGCCUUCAAGAGAGCACCAGACAGAGGCUAAACAGACAUGCAAUAAAAUUAUCCUCCUUGGAUGGGUCAGGAGCUGGCUGAUAACUUACUCUAAGCCUACAUCAAUCAGGGAGCAGCAGGGGCAUCCACAGUCAAGGAGAGCUGAAGGUGGCAGGGCGUACAGCCGCAGAUCAUCUUAAAUAAAGAUAUAGAAGGCAGACUCUCAUAAAAGAAACCAUAAAUGAAACAAUGAAUAACGACUUCUGUUUAUCAUUCUCUAUUGUUUGCAACUUUCACAAUAAGCGUGUAUUGUUUUCUUAAAUAAAUAGCAAACAAUAAACUCAUAUUGAUAUGGCAUCAAUUUUCACUGAAUACCCUAAGAGGAAGCCAUGUUUUUCCUGCGUUUUGUAAAGCUUACAGGUGGAUUUCUUUUUUCUUUUCUUAAAAAGAGUACAUUCGGA